GACGAACGCUGGCGGCGUGCCUAAUACAUGCAAGUAGAACGCUGAAGGAGGAGCUUGCUUCUCUGGAUGAGUUGCGAACGGGUGAGUAACGCGUAGGUAACCUGCCUGGUAGCGGGGGAUAACUAUUGGAAACGAUAGCUAAUACCGCAUAAGAGUAGAUGUUGCAUGACAUUUGCUUAAAAGGUGCAAUUGCAUCACUACCAGAUGGACCUGCGUUGUAUUAGCUAGUUGGUGAGGUAACGGCCCACCAAGGCGACGAUACAUAGCCGACCUGAGAGGGUGAUCGGCCACACUGGGACUGAGACACGGCCCAGACUCCUACGGGAGGCAGCAGUAGGGAAUCUUCGGCAAUGGACGGAAGUCUGACCGAGCAACGCCGCGUGAGUGAAGAAGGUUUUCGGAUCGUAAAGCUCUGUUGUAAGAGAAGAACGAGUGUGAGAGUGGAAAGUUCACACUGUGACGGUAUCUUACCAGAAAGGGACGGCUAACUACGUG
rnacentral:rRNA from 1 species